UACGUAGGGUGCAGGCGUUAAUCGGAAUUACUGGGCGUAAAGCGUGCGCAGGCGGUUCGCUGUGUCCGAUGUGAAAGCCCCGGGCUUAACCUGGGAAUGGCAUUGGAAACUGGCGGGCUUGAGUGUGGCAGAGGGGGGUGGAAUUCCGCGUGUAGCAGUGAAAUGCGUAGAGAUGCGGAGGAACACCGAUGGCGAAGGCAGCCCCCUGGGCUAACACUGACGCUCAGGCACGAAAGCGUGGGGAGCAAACAGG
rnacentral:rRNA from 1 species